UACGUAGGGGGCAAGCGUUGUCCGGAAUCAUUGGGCGUAAAGCGCGUGUAGGCGGUUACGUAAGUCUGCUGUGAAAGUCGGAGGCUCAACCUUCGAAAGCCGGUGGAUACUGCGUGACUAGAGUACGGAAGAGGAGAGUGGAAUUCCUGGUGUAGCGGUGAAAUGCGCAGAUAUCAGGAGGAACACCAACGGCGAAGGCAGCUCUCUGGGACGUUACUGACGCUGAGACGCGAAAGCUAGGGGAGCAAACGGG
rnacentral:rRNA from 1 species